AAACGAGCCUGGAUUUUAUUGUUGAAUUUAUGGUGGAUUCAAAUAUCGCAUAAUCAAUCUUUAUCACAAACUCAACUAGAACUAUAACAUUGAGAAAUGAAUAAAUGGAGGGUGGAAAGAGUAUUAUGGACUUGAG
rnacentral:pre_miRNA from 1 species